ensembl:lncRNA
GCCACACAGGCUGGCAAAUGUAGGAACCAGAUAAAUCCAGGUUGGUGACCCCAUUGGCAAAAGGGGGCCUUAAUCAGUGUGCCCCAGGGGUUUGCCUUGUGUCCAGACACUGUUCUAACUGCUCUGUGAACAUUCAGACAGUCAAGCAGUUCCUAAGAGCAGUGACGACCACAGCUGCUAGCCUGGCCGUCCAUACUUCCAUAGACUCAGCCACAUCACUACGGCACCAACCUCAACUCUCAGGUGACUUUCUCCAGAGUUGAUGUGACCUUAGGGAGGACCAGCCAGCUCAACGUCCCCUCCCUGAAGACCCUGAGGAAAGGUUCCUGGUCUGCAUGACUGACAGCAACUCUCUGACAUGCUGAGCUGGUCCCAAUUGAGAAAAGCCCUGAGCCUCUCCAAAGCCUCAGCACCUGGGGUCCUUGAGCUGCCCCAGGUGGAGGCUGAACAUGGAGGGGAAUUCAUCUGCUGAGCUCAGAAUCCACUGGGAUCCCAGCAUGUUUCCUUCAGCCUCUCUGUGAUGUCCCAGCUCAGCAGGCAAGCAGGAAAGGAACGAAUCCUCUCUUCUUCUGCUAUUGUUCUAUCCAGGCUCUCAGCAGAUUUGAUGAUGUCCAUCAGCAUGGGAGAUGGAAACCUAUGUUAUUGAGUCCACGGAUUCAAAUGAUAAUCUCAUAUCUCAGUUUCAUCUCUGGAAACACCUUCACAGACACAUCCAGAAAGAAGGUUUACUCUGGUCAUCCCAUGGCCCCAUCAAGUUGAGCCAUAAAAUUAACCAUCACACUGGCCCUGGAGGUCAAUGUUCAGCUUAUUCACACAGACAAACAGACAGACACACAGCUGGGCACAUUCUGAGUACUGAGAUGGGCCAUUUCCUGACCUUCACCCUGGGGAAGAUGAGGCUCCUGUGAAUAGGCAAAUUGUCCUAGUUAUCAAAUCACAGAGAUGCUGGGACAAUGUCUUAGCAAGAGAGAAGUACCAAGGAUGCUCUUUUCCUGGAUCCUUUGCAUGUCACUGUAAACCUCUCCCCAGGCCACUGUGUCUUUCUGGGUCACCAAUCCAUGUACCAAGUGUUGAUGGUCCUUGCCCACUGAGGUCCAGCCUGUGGCUUUCCCCAACACCCCCCUUGCUUCCUAGCAGUAGAACAAAUAUUCUGUCAUGCCAGCAAGGUGAGCCAACAGAUCAGCAAUGAUGUGAGAGCUACAAUAGCAACGGCCCCUCCACUGACCCUCAGAGCCUGGUGGCUGCUGCUUCGAGUUCUCCCUUCUCUUGUCAUCAAUAGGGAAGGGAAUUCUGGGAAAUGUAGUUCCAGCCCGGCAAAGCCUCCACAGGCAUCUUCACUGAAGGCUUCAAAUCACCAUUUAAAUGUCAUCCUUUAAAUACAAUAAUUGGAAAUAUUCAUCAGACAUAAGAUCCCUGUUCUAUGUGAUCUGGCCUCUCCACGGAGCUGCAGACGUCUCCAAAGUCAGUGCUCAGCUCUGGAUCAGAACCACGGACAGAGCCAUCACGGGAGCUCCAGGUGCCAGGGCACCUGUUGUCUUCACACUGGACAGUGACCCUCAGGACAUCGACCAGAGCUGGUGUGCGACCUUGGGAGCAGAGAGGCGAUGCUCACCACAUGGAUGCUGAGGAAGUGAGGACAGUUAGUCUCCCUCAUCUCCUGUGUUCCUGAGUCCUUCCCCUGGACGGACCAACCUCCACUGACAUCUACAGUCUCCCUGACCCACACACCUGACAUCCUCAUCCUGGAGACCUGGAGUCCAGCCACCCCAGGAACCUGACCUGCUCUGUGCCCUGGGUCUGUGUGUGGGGCACACCCCCCAUCUUCUCCUGGACAUCAGCUGCCCUCACUUCUAUGGGCCCCAGGACCCAAUUCUCCUCGGUGCUCACCCUCACCCCAUGGCCCCAGGACCAUGGCAUUAACCUCACCUGUCAGGUGAAGUUUCCCAUGGCUGGUGUGAUGAUGGAGAGAACUACCCAGCUCAACAUCACCUGUGCUCCAUAGAACCCAGAAGUGGGUGUCUGUCUAGCGGAUGGCACAGGUAAUAUAUUCACCUGGCCAAAAUUUCAAAAUGCACAGCAGAGUCUGUCUUCAGAUGCCCAGUCUCCUCCUGGGAAGUGACCAGUGUCCAUAGGCUGCUCUGAGCCUUGAUUUGUUCACCUAAAGGAUCUUAGGGGUCAUUUGACAUCAGUGGUACAGAAGUCGUCAUGCGUCCGUGACUGUGCAGGAUUCCAUGGCCUGGAUGGAUUCUGAUUCUGUACACACCUUCUGCUAAUACAAAAUUCCUGGCAUUAAGUUAUUCUACCAAUAAAAAAGCUGCAAUCAGUAA